rnacentral:rRNA from 1 species
AUGUUGUUGCUGCUGCUGCAGGUGGACGUGACUGCCUGCUAUAAAGGUCAGGGAAGAAUAGCACAACAUGGAUUCAUAAACCCACGGUGGGUGGAUGGUGAGCUGUUGGUACUCAAUGGCAAGGUAAAAAAACAUCUGGCGCUUUUGGUUUGCAUUUGCAGCAUCACUGCUAGAAUUCUACUGAAAUAA